AGGAAUUUGGUAUAAAACUAUCCAAUGUCAGCCUCCUCGUUUCCCUUGGUUUGGUAAUACUUGUUUAAGUAGAAAAUAUAUAUCUAUUAUUGAUGUAUUUCUGCAUAGGCAGUAAUAUCUCUCCACUUGUAUCUGUUGCAUUCCACGAUGUUAUUUAGAAUGUAAUUUAGGUUACGAUGGGGCUGGCGUGUCCGUGUCGGACAAAAGUCC